AGCUUGCUGGGUGGAUCAGUGGCGAACGGGUGAGUAACACGUGAGCAACCUGCCCCAGACUUCGGGAUAAGCCUUGGAAACGAGGUCUAAUACUGGAUAUGAGGUCACAUCGCAUGGUGUGGUCUGGAAAGAUUUAUCGGUCUGGGAUGGGCUCGCGGCCUAUCAGCUUGUUGGUGGGGUAGUGGCCUACCAAGGCGACGACGGGUAGCCGGCCUGAGAGGGCGACCGGCCACACUGGGACUGAGACACGGCCCAGACUCCUACGGGAGGCAGCAGUGGGGAAUAUUGCACAAUGGGCGCAAGCCUGAUGCAGCGACGCCGCGUGAGGGAUGAAGGCCUUCGGGUUGUAAACCUCUUUCAGCAGGGAAGAAGCGCAAGUGACGGUACCUGCAGAAGAAGCGCCGGCUAACUACGUGCCAGCAGCCGCGGUAAUACGUAGGGCGCAAGCGUUGUCCGGAAUUAUUGGGCGUAAAGAGCUCGUAGGCGGUCUGUCGCGUCUGGUGUGAAAACUCAAGGCUCAACCUUGAGCUUGCAUCGGGUACGGGCAGACUAGAGUGCGGUAGGGGAGACUGGAAUUCCUGGUGUAGCGGUGGAAUGCGCAGAUAUCAGGAGGAACACCGAUGGCGAAGGCAGGUCUCUGGGCCGCAACUGACGCUGAGGAGCGAAAGCAUGGGGAGCGAACAGGAUUAGAUACCCUGGUAGUCCAUGCCGUAAACGUUGGGCACUAGGUGUGGGGCUCAUUCCACGAGUUCCGUGCCGCAGCAAACGCAUUAAGUGCCCCGCCUGGGGAGUACGGCCGCAAGGCUAAAACUCAAAGGAAUUGACGGGGGCCCGCACAAGCGGCGGAGCAUGCGGAUUAAUUCGAUGCAACGCGAAGAACCUUACCAAGGCUUGACAUACACCGGAAACUUCCAGAGAUGGUUGCCCCGCAAGGUCGGUGUACAGGUGGUGCAUGGUUGUCGUCAGCUCGUGUCGUGAGAUGUUGGGUUAAGUCCCGCAACGAGCGCAACCCUCGUCCUAUGUUGCCAGCACGUGAUGGUGGGGACUCAUAGGAGACUGCCGGGGUCAACUCGGAGGAAGGUGGGGAUGACGUCAAAUCAUCAUGCCCCUUAUGUCUUGGGCUUCACGCAUGCUACAAUGGCCGGUACAAAGGGCUGCGAUACCGUAAGGUGGAGCGAAUCCCAAAAAGCCGGUCUCAGUUCGGAUUGGGGUCUGCAACUCGACCCCAUGAAGUCGGAGUCGCUAGUAAUCGCAGAUCAGCAACGCUGCGGUGAAUACGUUCCCGGGCCUUGUACACACCGCCCGUCAAGUCACGAAAGUCGGU
rnacentral:rRNA from 1 species